UACGAAGGGGGCUAGCGUUGCUCGGAAUCACUGGGCGUAAAGGGUGCGUAGGCGGGUCUUUAAGUCAGGGGUGAAAUCCUGGAGCUCAACUCCAGAACUGCCUUUGAUACUGAGGAUCUUGAGUUCGGGAGAGGUGAGUGGAACUGCGAGUGUAGAGGUGAAAUUCGUAGAUAUUCGCAAGAACACCAGUGGCGAAGGCGGCUCACUGGCCCGAUACUGACGCUGAGGCGCGAAAGCGUGGGGAGCAAACGGG
rnacentral:rRNA from 1 species